UUGCAUGGGCGCAAGCCUGACCGCCUGCCGCGGGGGUGAUGAAGGCCUUAGGGUUGUAAAGCCCUUUCGGCGGGGAAGAUAAUGACGGUACCCGCAGAAGAAGCCCCGGCUAACUUCGUGCCAGCAGCCGCGGUAAUACGAAGGGGGCUAGCGUUGCUCGGAAUCACUGGGCGUAAAGCGCACGUAGGCGGCUUUCUAAGUCAGGGGUGAAAUCCUGGAGCUCAACUCCAGAACUGCCUUUGAUACUGGGAAGCUUGAGUUCGGGAGAGGUGAGUGGAACUGCGAGUGUAGAGGUGAAAUUCGUAGAUAUUCGCAAGAACACCAGUGGCGAAGGCGGCUCACUGGCCCGAUACUGACGCUGAGGUGCGAAA
rnacentral:rRNA from 1 species